AGCCUCAUUGACAGAAGAGGCAUUUACACCGAAGAUGGUCAGUUGAGUCAGCAUUGCCAUUACGGAACAGUUAAAGGAGCGCAGUCAAAAGGUAUUGUCUCAACAGUGCCCAACACAAUAGUUACAACAGAGCAAAAGUCCACCCAAAGUGUUGCAGCUGCUGCAUAUGGACCAAAAAGCUCAGUCCACUCUGCUAAUGGAAAUUAUCGUGGCGUUCUUAGAGAAAGUUCCUACCAAAAUCCAGGACCUCAUGGCAACAACAGUAUUAAAGUCCCUGUAGCUGUAGUUUCCCCACAAACUCGGCAUGAAGCAGAGCUUUGUGCCAAAACGCCAUUCCCAUCGCACAAAGAUGAUCAAGACCCAUUAGAAAUUGGAAGUCAGCUUUCUUUGCUCAAGCAAAGUGCAGUGUGAAAUUUAUUUUGCUUUCUCUCACCUCUGUGGUUGCUUUCCAGAACUUUUCCCCGAAAAUACCCGAUUGCAGUAGCGUUUACAUUUGGUUGUGCAAUAUUGUACUUACUGUACAGACUUAAGACAGGAAGAAGUGUAUUCCAUGUGGUAUUUAAAUAUAAAGUACUUUUUGUAUUAAAUGUUUCAAACUCUCAAAUAAAUGCUAUGUAAAUAUUUAGGCUAAUUUUAUAAAGGCCAAUAUGAAUUAUUUCUUUUACAGUGUAGAAAAUGUUAUUUUUAUAUUCUUAUAUAUUUUUCCUGCACAUGAAUGUACUUAAGCAUUCUUUCAUAACUGAAUUAUUGCAUUUCUUAUACUUAAUUUCUUUGUUUCUAUGAUGAAAAUUGAUAAAGUUUAUAUUUUUAAAUAGUUUAUAUGUUCAUGUGCUAACCCCCCUUCCUCAACUCACAAGACCCUGCUAUUUUUGUUAAUAUUUAAUUUUUGGUAACUUGAAAAGUAUCAAUUGGCCUUUUUGUUUAACCAACCAUUCGUUAUCACUAGAAACAAGUAAAAUUUUACAUCCGAGCAAGAAUCAACAUUUGACAUAUUUUUCAAUCGAAGUAUUUUUAUGUAGUUUUAAAUGUUUUAAUAUUUCUUUAGAAACAAAACAAAGAAAAAGAUACAAAAAAGUAUAAAAAACUAAACCAUUGUUUAGUUAGAUUAAAGCUUUUGCAUAUUCAUGUACAAAUGGUAGAGUUCAUUUAUUGAAUUUUAAUGUUUAGUUUUAUUUCAAUCACUAAAAUAUUCAUCAUUGUUUUAUAAUGUUUUUAUAAUCGUGUGCUUCAUUGCCAUUUGUAUUGCUGAUGCAUCUCCCACAUUUUUAAAAUCACAAUUGUAUAAAUAAUUCUGCUCCAAAUAAUACAAAUUUCAAUUUUGUACUUCUCUCUAAUGUGCCAUUUUUUCAUACUGCCUUAUCUUUCCUUUAUUUAUUUCUAUUUAUAAAUUAGAAAGAAGUAAUUGAUUGUGAUUAUCUUUAAUGCUCACUGCUUGGUUCAUUUUGUACAUAGGAAAAUUUUAUAUAAAUUUUUUUUUGAAUUGCUCACACUUAACAUAUUGUUAAGUACUGAUUUGAUGCUCCGCUCUUAAAAUCACAAUAUUUAAAUAAAUGUGUAUUAGUGUUUACAUGUUAAUUUAAUUUUUUGGCUUCCAAUGUAUUUUUUUUUAAU